AGAGUUUGAUCAUGGCUCAGAUUGAACGCUGGCGGAAUGCUUUACACAUGCAAGUCGAACGGCAGCACGGACUUCGGUCUGGUGGCGAGUGGCGAACGGGUGAGUAAUAUAUCGGAACGUGCCCAGUCGUGGGGGAUAACGUAGCGAAAGUUACGCUAAUACCGCAUACGAUCUAAGGAUGAAAGCGGGGGAUCGCAAGACCUCGCGCGAUUGGAGCGGCCGAUAUCAGAUUAGGUAGUUGGUGGGGUAAAGGCUCACCAAGCCAACGAUCUGUAGCUGGUCUGAGAGGACGACCAGCCACACUGGAACUGAGACACGGUCCAGACUCCUACGGGAGGCAGCAGUGGGGAAUUUUGGACAAUGGACGCAAGUCUGAUCCAGCCAUUCCGCGUGCAGGAUGAAGGCCCUCGGGUUGUAAACUGCUUUUGUACAGAACGAAAAGGCUCUUCCUAAUACGGAGGGCUCAUGACGGUACUGUAAGAAUAAGCACCGGCUAACUACGUGCCAGCAGCCGCGGUAAU
rnacentral:rRNA from 1 species